rnacentral:rRNA from 1 species
CCUACGGGUCGCACCAGUGGGGAAUAUUGCACAAUGGGCGAAAGCCUGAUGCAGCGACGCCGCGUGCGGGAUGACGGCCUUCGGGUUGUAAACCGCUUUCAGCUCUGACGAAGCUUUUGUGACGGUAGGAGCAGAAGAAGCACCGGCUAACUACGUGCCAGCAGCCGCGGUAAUACGUAGGGUGCGAGCGUUGUCCGGAAUUAUUGGGCGUAAAGAGCUUGUAGGCGGCUUGUCGCGUCUGCUGUGAAAACCCGGGGCUUAACCCCGGGCUUGCAGUGGGUACGGGCAGGCUAGAGUGUGGUAGGGGAGACUGGAAUUCCUGGUGUAGCGGUGGAAUGCGCAGAUAUCAGGAGGAACACCGAUGGCGAAGGCAGGUCUCUGGGCCAUUACUGACGCUGAGAAGCGAAAGCGUGGGGAGCGAACAGGAUUAGAUACCCUCGUAGUC